rnacentral:rRNA from 1 species
CAAUAGCGUAUAUUAAAAUUGUUGUAGUUAAAACGUUCGUAGUUGUAUGUCUGUUAUGCGUCUGAAUGGUCCGCUUCGGUGUGUGCCGUUCGUCCAUGACAUCCGUUUGCACAAUUCGUUGAGCAAACCGUUCACUUUGAGGAAAUUAGAGUGUUCAAAGCAGGCGUUGCCUUGAAUACUUCAGCAUGGAAUGAUAGAUAGGACUUCCGUUCUAUCCGUUGGUUCUAGGGGCGUGAGGUAAUGAUAAAUAGGGUCGGUCGGGGACAUUCCUACUGAGCAGUCAGGGGUGAAAUCCUGUAAUUUGCUCAUGAGGCACUACUGCGAAAGCAUUUGCCAAGGACGACCCCAUUA